GCCUAACACAUGCAAGUCGAGCGGUAACAGAAAGUAGCUUGCUACUUUGCUGACGAGCGCGCGGACGGGUGAGUAAUGCUUGGGAACAUGCCUUGAGGUGGGGGACAACAGUUGGAAACGACUGCUAAUACCGCAUAAUGUCUACGGACCAAAGGGGGCUUCGGCUCUCGCCUUUAGAUUGGCCCAAGUGGGAUUAGCUAGUUGGUGAGGUAAUGGCUCACCAAGGCGACGAUCCCUAGCUGGUUUGAGAGGAUGAUCAGCCACACUGGGACUGAGACACGGCCCAGACUCCUACGGGAGGCAGCAGUGGGGAAUAUUGCACAAUGGGCGCAAGCCUGAUGCAGCCAUGCCGCGUGUGUGAAGAAGGCCUUCGGGUUGUAAAGCACUUUCAGUCAGGAGGAAAGGUUAGUAGUUAAUACCUGCUAGCUGUGACGUUACUGACAGAAGAAGCACCGGCUAACUCCGUGCCAGCAGCCGCGGUAAUACGGAGGGUGCGAGCGUUAAUCGGAAUUACUGGGCGUAAAGCGUACGCAGGCGGUUUGUUAAGCGAGAUGUGAAAGCCCCGGGCUCAACCUGGGAACUGCAUUUCGAACUGGCAAACUAGAGUGUGAUAGAGGGUGGUAGAAUUUCAGGUGUAGCGGUGAAAUGCGUAGAGAUCUGAAGGAAUACCGAUGGCGAAGGCAGCCACCUGGGUCAACACUGACGCUCAUGUACGAAAGCGUGGGGAGCAAACGGGAUUAGAUACCCCGGUAGUCCACGCCGUAAACGAUGUCUACUAGAAGCUCGGAGCCUCGGUUCUGUUUUUCAAAGCUAACGCAUUAAGUAGACCGCCUGGGGAGUACGGCCGCAAGGUUAAAACUCAAAUGAAUUGACGGGGGCCCGCACAAGCGGUGGAGCAUGUGGUUUAAUUCGAUGCAACGCGAAGAACCUUACCUACACUUGACAUACAGAGAACUUACCAGAGAUGGUUUGGUGCCUUCGGGAACUCUGAUACAGGUGCUGCAUGGCUGUCGUCAGCUCGUGUUGUGAGAUGUUGGGUUAAGUCCCGCAACGAGCGCAACUCCUAUCCUUAGUUGCUAGCAGGUAAUGCUGAGAACUCUGAGGAGACUGCCGGUGAUAA
rnacentral:rRNA from 1 species